rnacentral:rRNA from 1 species
GUGGGGAAUUUUGGACAAUGGGCGCAAGCCUGAUCCAGCCAUGCCGCGUGCGGGAAGAAGGCCUUCGGGUUGUAAACCGCUUUUGUCAGGGAAGAAACGCUCUGGGCUAAUACCCUGGGGUAAUGACGGUACCUGAAGAAUAAGCACCGGCUAACUACGUGCCAGCAGCCGCGGUAAUACGUAGGGUGCAAGCGUUAAUCGGAAUUACUGGGCGUAAAGCGUGCGCAGGCGGUUAUGCAAGACAGAUGUGAAAUCCCCGGGCUCAACCUGGGAACUGCAUUUGUGACUGCAUGGCUAGAGUGCGGCAGAGGGGGAUGGAAUUCCGCGUGUAGCAGUGAAAUGCGUAGAUAUGCGGAGGAACACCGAUGGCGAAGGCAAUCCCCUGGGCCUGCACUGACGCUCAUGCACGAAAGCGUGGGGAGCAAACAGG